GCCGAGUGUGUUGUUGCUCCGGUAAUCCCAGCUACUCAGGAGGCUGAGACAGGAGGAUCACUUAAGCCCAGGAGCUUGAGGCUAUAACAAGCCCUGCCAAUUGGGUGUCCACACUAGGUUGGGCAUCGACAUGGUGCCCUCCUGCAAGGAGGGACCACCAAGAUGCCUAAGGAGGGGUGAACCAGCCGAGGUCAGAAACAGAACAGGUCAAACCCCUGUGCUGAUUGGUAGUGAGAUCAUGCCUAUGAAUAGACCACUGUGCUCCAGCAGCAGCAUAAAAAAAAACCCUGUCUUU
ensembl:misc_RNA Metazoa_SRP Metazoan signal recognition particle RNA